GAUGGACGCUAGCGGCAGGCUUAAUACAUGCAAGUCGUGGGGCAGCAUGAGUAGCAAUACUUGAUGGCGACCGGCAAACGGGUGCGGAACACGUACACAACCUUCCGAUAAGUGGGGAAUAGCCCAGAGAAAUUUGGAUUAAUACCCCGUAACAUAUAGAGUAGGCAUCUUCUUUAUAUUAUAGCUUCGGCGCUUAUUGAUGGGUGUGCGUCUGAUUAGGUAGUUGGCGGGGUAACGGCCCACCAAGCCUACGAUCAGUAGCUGAUGUGAGAGCAUGAUCAGCCACACGGGCACUGAGACACGGGCCCGACUCCUACGGGAGGCAGCAGUAAGGAAUAUUGGACAAUGGGCGAAAGCCUGAUCCAGCCAUGCCGCGUGAAGGAUUAAGGUCCUCUGGAUUGUAAACUUCUUUUAUUUGGGACGAAAAAAGGGAAUUCUUUCCCACUUGACGGUACCAGGUGAAUAAGCACCGGCUAACUCCGUGCCAGCAGCCGCGGUAA
rnacentral:rRNA from 1 species